rnacentral:miRNA from 8 species
AACAAUCUCCUGAUGCUGCCUGAGU